AAUCACCACACAUGAUGCGCGCAUUCUACACUGUGCAUGGUACGAAAUUGCUCUGUGUAGUGGACCACAAGAAAAGAAAUAUUUUAUAAUAGGCUGGCCUAUGGCUCUGGUCAUCAAUUUUUGUGUUGGAUUGCUGAAAUCUUUGGAUUUGCUUCACCCACGUUCAGUCCACCGGCAGCCUUAUGAUAAUAGAACAUAAAUAACAUAUAUAACUGCAUGAAUAAGGGGC
rnacentral:lncRNA from 1 species